AGCCAGAUGGUGUAGUGGUUUGAAUGCUGGACUGUGACUCUGGAGACCAGGGCGCAAAUCCCUGCUCAGCCA